rnacentral:rRNA from 1 species
AACAUAGCCUUUUGUAACUUAUAGAAGGUGAUGCCUGCCCAAUGAUGAGGGAAUAAAAACUUAAUCGUUUAUAACCCCCAUUCAAUGGCCGCGGUAUUCCUGACCGUGAUAAUGUAGCGAAAUCAAUCGUCACUUAAUUGCUGACCAGUAUGAAUGGUAAUACGAAUGUCCCCCUGUCUCAAAAAAAGCUCCCGUGAAAUUGAAGGGGCCGUGCAUAUACGGCCCAAAACCUGUAAGACGAAAAGACCCUAUUGAGCUUUACUAUAUGUUCUUCUAUCCACUAAAAUUUCACUCUAACCGAUUAAAAUUUUAAUUCAGGAGAACUAGGUAGUUUCGUUGGGGCGACGGCCUCUUAAAAAGUACCAGAGGCUAGCCAUGGUUUUUCUUUAAUGUAUUAAGCCUGACUGUAAGGCUUAUCCGCCAAACAGACACUAACGUGAGCCAUAGCUUUCCACACUUAGAGAGAUCUAAAUGUGCCAAAACAUAAAAGUUACCAUAGGGAUAACAGCGUAAUUUUGUCGAAGAGCUCUUAUCGAUGACAAA